rnacentral:tRNA from 1 species
GUCCCGGUAUUUGGAGGUUCGAAUCCUUCCGUCCCAG